UAUGACAAAAAGCGAGCUGAGGGGUUAGUGGUCCCCGAAACAUGUCUCCUGUCCCCUCAGCUGUCAGGUUCAACAUUACCUGGGAUGGGAAUCUCCCUGCUGCAUAAAUCAGAGGUAACCCUCGUUGCAGCGAGUCCGGUGGAGCGUUAAAAACACACAGAGGAGAUCGGGCUCUUUAUUUAUUCACGAGAAGAUGGCGGAGUUCUCGCCCGUCCUGCCGAUGCGGGAUGGAGGAGGACGUUUGGGCCAGCCCAUCUUCCCUCGGUCCAGGUCCGGUUCCGAGUCAGAGAGCGAGCUGUCCCAGAGCUUGGCCCGGACCAAGAUCCGCUCCUACGGAAGCACAGCCAGCGUCACGGCCUCUCUGGGGGAGAAAUACAUAGAGCAUCGGGUUACAGACAGUGAUACUCUGCAAGGGAUUGCUCUCAAAUACGGUGUCACGAUGGAACAAGUCAAGAGAGCCAACAAGCUGUUUAGCAACGACUGCAUCUUUCUAAAGAACAGCCUCAACAUCCCCGUGAUGUCGGAGAAGCGCUACAUAUUUAACGGACUGUCUCUGGAGUCUCCUGACGGGGACGGCGAAGCAGCGUGCCAGGAGACAGAUACAGCCUGUGUAAUGUUGCAGGACAUCGAGGGACCUUCGCCAGCCCCUUCCCCACCCCCUGAGGACUCCAAACCCCCCCAACCCCAACCAGAGGAGCUCUCAGCCAAAGACUUCUUACAUAGACUGGACUUGCAAAUCAAACAGUCAAAGCAGGCAGCGCGCAGACUGAAAGAAGAGGAAGUAAGGAGCAGCGAGGAGAGCUACACGGCCCCCACGACGUCAUACCAGGAGAUCUAAAGGAGGAGUCUGUUUACCUGGAGCCCUGUUUGUCUCAGAUGCACAAACGCAUACACACAAACACUCUUCACACCACAACCUCAUGCUUUAUUCUUUACCUGUUUGCUUUUACCAAACAAAUGUUGAACAAAUGUGUCAUGUUUGCCUUUUUAUUUAUUGAUAUGCAAUUAUUAUGAUGUAUAUGAUUGUUAUUGUUUUGUAACAGUUUAACUGGGAGACUUACAGUGCAGAGGAUCAUCUUAUAUCCUAGCACAUGUGCCCAUCAAUUCAUCAUAUGCUUGUGAAGCUGCUGUAUAAAACCCACCUGCUGCAUAUGUACACACACACACACACACGCCCACACACACACACAUAGCGUUAAGCAAUUCCAGAAGGAUUAGCUUGUUAGCCUUGCUAACCGCUUCUGAUUUUCUAAAUCCCCUCCUAGAAUAGUAUCAAUGGAAAGUAUAUUCAGGCCUUCCUCAUCAGUGUUUACCCUGUAUGAGCACACCCCAAACAGGAGCGGUGGAUGGACUCAAGCCUUUCAAACACGUUCCGUUUGCCUCAUCGAAGCGUUUUAAUUUAGGAAGAGAAGGGACUUCUCUAUUUUUGAAGUCUACCAACACAUCAGGAUGGAACUAACUACUCUCACUUCAUUUGCGGUAAAAUGUUUCUAUAAAUCAUGUUUCUAAAGAGUCUCAGCCCCUCAGGUGAUAUUAUUCACUCAUCACAGUGCAAUGUG